CAAAGAAAUCCUGAAAAAAUUAGCAAAUUUUAUUUAACAACCUCCUGAAACCAAUACAACUUCAGUACAUUUGUCAACACUUUCCUGUGCAAACUACAACCUUUGUGAGAAAAACAUAAGCAUGUAGAUAAAAACUGAAGAUUAUUUCUACCCGGAUUUGAUUAAACUGUGGGACAUGUUCUUUCACUGUGCAGACAUAACUGAAUUAUCCUCCAUCAGCUGACACAAUGCUACUGUGACUGACAAGGCAGAAGCAGAGACUUGGAAUAAAGAUCCAAGUGAGAAUGGA